AUUGAACGCUGGCGGCAGGCCUAACACAUGCAAGUCGAACGAGUGGCGGACGGGUGAGUAAUGUCUGUGAAACUGCCUGAUGGAUGGGGAUAACUACUGGAAACGGUAGCUAAUACCGCAUACCCUCGGCUUUGCCCUGAUGGGAUUAGCUAGUUGGUGGGGUAACGGCUCACCAAGGAGACGAUCCCUUUCUGGGCUGAGAGGAUGACCAGCCACACUGGAACUGAGACACGGCCCAGACUCCUACGGGAGGCAGCAGUGGGGAAUAUUGCACAAUGGGCGCAAGCCUGAGGCAGCCAUGCCGCGUGUAUGAAGAAGGCCUUCGGGUUGUAAAGGACUUUCAGCGGGGAGGCGUUAACUGCAGAAGAAGCACCGGCUAACUCCGUGCCAGCAGCCGCGGUAAUUC
rnacentral:rRNA from 1 species